rnacentral:rRNA from 1 species
GACGAACGCUGGCGGCGCGCUUAACACAUGCAAGUCGAACGGAAAGGCCUGCUUUCCCUUUUGGAUUGCGGGUACGCGAGUGGCGAACGGGUGAGUAACACGGGAGUGAUCGGCCCCCAACUUGGGUAUAAUCCUGGUAAACUGGGUCUAAUUCCCGAGAGGACUGCAGGGUGGUGCCUGUGGUGGAAAACGAUUUUCUAGUGGUGGUGGAGGAGCUCGCGGCCUAUCAGCUUGCUGGGGGGGCAAUGGCCUACCAAGGCGGCUACGUGUACCCAGCCUGAGAGCGUGCACGCCGACAUUGGGACUGGGCUCAGGCCCAGACGCGUGCGGGAGGCAGCAGUGGGGAAAAUAAGACAAAGGGCGGAAGCCUGCUGUAGCGACGGCGGGUGGAGGAUCACGGGCUUCGGGUCGUAAACUGCUUGCGACCGAGAGGAAGCCACUUGGUUGGAAGGGUGGUGACGGUAGUGUAAGAAGAAGCACCGGCUAACUACGUG